AUACGGAGGAUCCGAGCGUUAUCCGGAUUUAUUGGGUUUAAAGGGUGCGCAGGCGGCCAUUUAAGUCAGCGGUUAAAUCGUGGGGCUCAACCCCAUUCUGCCGUUGAUACUGGGUGGCUUGAUUGCGGUCGAGGUUGGCGGAAUUCGUUGUGUAGCGGUGAAAUGCAUAGAUAUGACGAAGAACACCGAUUGCGUAGGCAGCUGACCAGACCGCAAAUGACGCUCAUGCACGAAAGUGCGAGGAUCGAACAGGAUUAGAUACCCUGGUAGUCCGCACAGUAAACGAUGAAUACUUGUUUUCGGCGAUAUAAUGUCGGAGGCAAAGCGAAAGCGAUAAGUAUUCCACCUGGGGAGUACGCCGGCAACGGUGAAACUCAAAGGAAUUGACGGGG
rnacentral:rRNA from 1 species